rnacentral:rRNA from 1 species
GAUGAACGCUGGCGGCGUGCUUAACACAUGCAAGUCGAACGGAAAGGCUCCUGCUUGCAGGGGUACUCGAGUGGCGAACGGGUGAGUAACACGUGGGUGAUCUGCUCUGCACUUCGGGAUAAGCCUGGGAAACUGGGUCUAAUACCGGAUAGGACCACAUUUUGGAUGGUGUGGUGGAAAGUUUUUCGGUGUGGGAUGAGCUCGCGGCCUAUCAGCUUGUUGGUGGGGUAAUGGCCUACCAAGGCGUCGACGGGUAGCCGGCCUGAGAGGGUGUACGGCCACAUUGGGACUGAGAUACGGCCCAGACUCCUACGGGAGGCAGCAGUGGGGAAUAUUGCACAAUGGGCGCAAGCCUGAUGCAGCGACGCCGCGUGGGGGAUGACGGCCUUCGGGUUGUAAACUCCUUUCGCUAGGGACGAAGCGCAAGUGACGGUACCUGGAGAAGAAGCACCGGCUAACUACGUG